rnacentral:rRNA from 1 species
UGGGGAAUAUUGCGCAAUGGGCGAAAGCCUGACGCAGCCACGCCGCGUGAGUGAAGAAGGCCUUCGGGUUGUAAAGCUCUGUCAUUCGGGAAAAACGGCUAUCCGGGGAAAGUUCGGGUAGCGUGAUGGUACCGAAGGAGGAAGCACCGGCAAACUCUGUGCCAGCAGCCGCGGUAAUACAGAGGGUGCAAGCGUUGUUCGGAAUUACUGGGCGUAAAGCGUGCGUAGGUUGUACUGAGAGUCGCGGGUGAAAUCCCAGGGCUUAACCCUGGAACUGCCUGCGAGACCUCAGUACUAGAGUAUGAGAGAGGAUAGUGGAAUUCCUGGUGUAGCGGUGAAAUGCGUAGAGAUCAGGAGGAACACCUGUGGCGAAGGCGGCUAUCUGGCUCAUAACUGACACUGAGGCACGAAAGCGUGGGGAGCAAACAGGAUUAGAUACCCUAGUAGUCCCUGAGCGGGCUGGCAAGGCGCAU